CUCAUAUAGUCAAAAUGGGAAUAAUAUCUAUCCCCCCUCUUUGGACCAGGGUCUUGGAUUACCAGUCCACCCAGUGAACUUGGGCCAGGUCAAAAAACCCAGUGGCAAAAGUUAAUAUUUGAGGAAAAAAGCACAUCCUGGGAAACCUUGAGUGAGGGCCAUGACUGUGUAGACAUGUCAUCCCCUCACGUUGACAGCAUUAGUGACUUAUAAAACCCGCACGUGUGAGU